UACGUAGGCAGCAAGCGUUGUUCGGAGUUACUGGGCGUAAAGGGUGUGUAGGCGGUUCUUUAAGUUUGGUGUGAAAUCCCCAGGCUUAACCUGGGAAGUGCGCGCGAAACUGACGAGCUUGAGUGCCGGAGAGGGUCGCGGAAUUCCCGGUGUAGAGGUGAAAUUCGUAGAUAUCGGGAGGAACACCAGUGGCGAAGGCGGCGACCUGGACGGACACUGACGCUGAGACGCGAAAGCGUGGGGAGCAAACAGG
rnacentral:rRNA from 1 species